ensembl:lncRNA
GAAAAGUACACCUGGGGAGGUAGGGACAGGGACAGGGGAGAGAAGGAGAGAGGCAGCCUCCAUAAAAGAAGCAGUUUCCAGAAACAGAAGCUUGAGACAUUUCCAGUAUACGUCCUUUGCUGAGAAUCAACACUACCCUUAAAUCUGAGUUAUCCCAUGAACCCUUUUAUCUGUUUUUUGUUCAAGCUGACUGAAGUUGUUUUAUGUUAAUUGCAGCCAAAUAUUCCUGAAUCAUGGGAUGAGAGAGAGAGAAAGAGAAUUGUAUAAGAAACCAGAGAGAAAUAAAGUACUAAUUUGAUGCUGACUUAACUGGCAGCCUUUACAAAAGAAAGAAAAAUAAUAGACCGGAUAAUACUUCUCACCUCAUACAAGGCAGAAAGAUGUUUUGGGAGAAGUAGAGAAUUCAAGACAACAUUUGAGUAAGCAUGUGAAAAUGCCUCUCAAAUGGAUCCAGUAGAUUUUGGAAGGGAUGUGUCCAUGGAGACUCUUCAAGUUGAGAAUGUGUCUAACCUACCUUGUAUUUGUCAAUAGGGUCUAACUCAGUAACUGGCACAGAGUAGGUACUCGCCCCAGAUCUCAAGCGUAACAGGAAAUAUGGACUAAAACAAAGUCUAUCUUCAAAGCUUUUAGCACCAUAUCUGUACCAUGGGAAAGGAAACAUUUGAUAAAGGAAUUAGAACAGAAAUCGUAACGGAUUCGGCGGAACAAGGGAAGUUUCAGUUCUGCCUGGUUACCUUCCAAGGUCACUCUGAACUUUGCAAACUUCAUUUAAUCUGCAGAAUUACCUUGUAGCAGGAAAUGUAAAAUAUUGGCUGCAAGAAGAAAUAAAAUCCAUGACAAUGGACUAAUAUCAUCUGUGAUGCCCACUCACUUCUACGUGGCAUGUGAGAACCAAUGCAUCUAUCUGCCUCAAUUAUACAGACACAGAUGUGGGGGCUUUACUGUCAUCUUCUGUGCCCAAGCAUGGCUUGAUGAGCAGUGCAUAGAUCCGUGCCCGGGAUCUGAACUGGUGAACUCCAGGCUGCUGAAGGAGAGCACACGAACUUAACCCCUACUCCACCAGGCUGGCCCCAACCAUAGCUUCUUGACCGGUAUCAGAAACCCAACUCAAGGCUGAACCUGGUUACACUUAUGAUUGUCAUGACCUGAGGGAAACUGGACAUCUGAAAGGACCUCAUUAACACUGUGCACCAGUGAAAGAAUGGAUGGAAGAAGGAAUGAGCGAAUACUGAUGCUGGGAACUGAAGCGGAGCAUCUUGAUGUCACUAAAGCUCUUAAAGAAACACAGUCACUACUUUCUGACCUACUACGUGCAGCCUGUUGGAUAGUGCUUUGUUGAAAUCCAGAAUGUAAAGUUGAGCUUUGUAAAAUUUCCAACUUUUGAAUGAGAUUUCAUAAAGCGUGGAUUCGUUUGUAGAAUCAUAAACGUCAAUGCAUCUGAAUAAAACCCAUCUAUUUUUAUUUAAAGGCAAAAAAGUAUAACAAUAUGCUAGAAGAAUUAAAAUGUAAUUAACUGAUCAUUGGAAUUUGAUUUUUAACAAGAAUUAAUUUGCAGAAAACAGAA